AUUGAACGCUGGCGGGAUGCCUUACACAUGCAAGUCGAACGGAGUGGCGAACGGGUGAGUAAUGUAUCGGAAUGUGCCCAGUCGCGGGGGAUAACUACCCGAAAGCGUCGCUAAUACCGCAUACUAUUAGAGCGGCCGAUAUCGGAUUAGCUAGUUGGUGGGGUAACGGCCGACAAAGGCGACGAUCCGUACCUGGUUUGAGAGGAAGACCAGCCACACUGGAACGGAGACACGGCCCAGACUCCUACGGGAGGCAGCAGUGGGGAAUAUUGGACAAUGGGGGAAAGCCUGAGCCAGCCAUCCCGCGUGUGCGAAGAAGGCCUUCGGAUUGUAAAGCACUUUUAGCAGGAAGGCGGUACCAACAGAAGAAGCACCGGCUAACUACGUGCCAGCAGCCGCGGUAAUAC
rnacentral:rRNA from 1 species